GAGCCACUAGCUUUGAACCUGGCAAUUCCAGAGAAAAUGUAAUAUAUAUUGAUUACUGCACUGUUGAGAUAAGCUUGAAGGGGAACUUAGUCUGACACUUUAGAUCUGUUCAUUCAUAUGUUGUCGAGAUACUGAUCAAGAACACAAUAUAUACAUCAGUUGCUGACAACGCGCUAAAAUUAUAGAGAAGAGGAAAUCGUGGAUGGCUUGCAAAACGGCUGAACCAUGAUAUGGUUGGUGUUCAUAAGUACAUCGAUCAACAUCACCAAGAAGUUAGGCAUGCAUUAUUAUAUUUUGUAGGCGGGGAUGCCACGCUUUUCUUCUUUAAUUAUCUUGAAUCAACUACCUGCAUUUUUACAUAUUAAUUAUCUUGAAAUCAACUACCUGGAUCAUCUCUUUUAGAUAUGGUCUGGAUCAUCUCUUUUAUUUGUAGACUUGCUCUACCCUGGUGUUUGAUCAAUGACUGAAAGGUGUAUAGGAAUUAGCCCGUUUGAGAUGCAUGGGAUAUUUUGAA